AGACAGUAACAGCUGGGGCCAGCCCCCAAUCAGGCCCAGCUGGUCCCUAUAAGAGGCUGCGAGCCAGAAGCCCAACAGUCUCUCUCUGCUUGUAGAGAGAGAAGGGCCUGGCUACUAGGGAGCCGAACAGGGUACUGGGAAUGGAGCAGGGCUGGGGGAAGGCUAGAGGAGCUGGGGAGCUCCAGCCUGGAAAACCCCCAGGCUGCGGGCCUAGCUGAGGGCCUAAGACAAGUACUGGGGUUCCAAAGGGGCAGCCCAGCAAUAGGUAGAGGCAGCAGGUCCAGACCCAACCUUGCCUAUGAUGAGUGGCUGACACUGAAGUCUGCCCCAGGGCGCGGGGGCGAGCUGGUGACUGGCAGUAGCCUACAACUGAGGCGCGGUGGCGGUAGUGGGUGGGGGUUCCCCUGAGUGGGGAGACCUGGAGAAACAGUGGGGGCCAGGGGGCCAGCGAUAGCGCGACACCGGCCGAUAGGGUGCUCCAGAGGCUGGAAGCUAAUUCCCCAAGACGACCAGCAGGAGGUGCCGCCGGGACCUUGCCUAUCACUGGGAACGGGGAGAAGGCAUAGAGAAACUGGCCCGACCAGGACAGGAGGAAGGCAUCGGAGAUAGCGCCCUGUCCCAGCCCCUCUCCCCCCACCCCCCCUGGAGCAGAACUGGGGACAGCGACGGUUCUGCUGAGUCACAAACAGGUCCACCUGGGGAGUGCCCCACUCUUGGAAAAGUCUGUGCACCACUUCUGGAUGAAGAGACCACUCGUGCUGAGAGGCGAAGUCCCUGCUCAAGUGAUCUGCCCGCGAGUUCCGGGCGCCCAGCCCAAAGUGGUGCACAUGGACAGAAGGAGCGCCACAUGAUCCCGCACCUGCGACCGGGAG